rfam:Callipepla squamata strain Texas jcf7180005233835, whole genome shotgun sequence.
GUCAGGAUGGCCGAGUGGUCUAAGGCGCCAGACUCAAGGCAGCUCCUUCCCGUGGGGAUUUCUGGUCUCCGAAUGGAGGCGUGGGUUCAAAUCCCACUCCUGACA